AAUCUAAUGACGAAAGCUUGUAUAUGGUAAUGAAGAUGGUAAUUAUAUGA
rnacentral:guide_RNA from 1 species